AGGGCGUCGCCCGACCAGAGAUACUGGUCUCGGGCACCAGUGAUCGUGGGUUCAAAUCCCACCCGCCCCACCA
rnacentral:tRNA from 1 species